rnacentral:rRNA from 1 species
UACAGAGGGGGCAAGCGUUGUUCGGAAUUAUUGGGCGUAAAGGGCGCGUAGGCGGCCAUGCGUGUCUUCCGUGAAAUCCCUCGGCUUAACUGAGGACGUGCGGAAGAAACUGCAAGGCUCGAGUCCGGGAGAGGGGGGUGGAAUUCCCAGUGUAGCGGUGAAAUGCGUAGAUAUUGGGAGGAACACCGGUGGCGAAGGCGGCCCCCUGGACCGGAACUGACGCUGAGGCGCGAAAGCGUGGGUAGCAAACGGG